UUUCAAUGCUUCCGGGUUGGCGCUGCAGUGGCGUUUCCGACUGUGGGAGCCUCAGCUUCCCAGUCGUCCGAUGAGCCCGAGCAGCUGAGUCCCUUCCCUGUCUUUCACUCUUCUGGCAUCGGUGGUUUUACUUCUUCGAUUGAACCCUGCUUCCUCGACCCCCCUGGGAGGCCGCCUCCUUCAGGCGCCUCCCUUCUCUCCACGAGCUCGCUCUGACAGCUGAGGAACUGGCAAGAUCCUGCUACCCAGAGGGUGAAUGGGUAUCUUUCCCGGAAUAAUCCUAAUUUUUCUAAGGGUGAAGUUUGCAACGGCGGCCGUGAUUGUAAGCGGACACCAGAAAAGUACCACUGUAAGUCAUGAGAUGUCUGGUCUGAAUUGGAAACCCUUUGUAUAUGGCGGCCUUGCCUCUAUCGUGGCUGAGUUUGGGACUUUCCCUGUGGACCUUACCAAAACACGACUUCAGGUUCAAGGCCAAAGCAUUGAUGCCCGUUUCAAAGAGAUAAAAUAUAGAGGGAUGUUCCACGCACUGUUUCGCAUCUGUAAAGAGGAAGGUGUAUUGGCUCUCUAUUCAGGAAUUGCUCCUGCAUUGCUAAGACAAGCAUCAUAUGGCACCAUUAAAAUUGGGAUUUACCAAAGCUUGAAGCGCUUAUUUGUAGAACGUUUAGAAGAUGAAACUCUUUUAAUUAAUAUGAUCUGUGGGGUAGUGUCAGGAGUGAUAUCUUCCACUAUAGCCAAUCCCACCGAUGUUCUAAAGAUUCGAAUGCAGGCUCAAGGAAGCUUGUUCCAAGGGAGCAUGAUUGGAAGCUUUAUCGAUAUAUACCAACAAGAAGGCACCAGGGGUCUGUGGAGGGGUGUGGUUCCAACUGCUCAGCGUGCUGCCAUCGUUGUGGGAGUAGAGCUACCAGUCUAUGAUAUUACUAAGAAGCACUUAAUAUUGUCAGGAAUGAUGGGUGAUACAAUUUUAACUCACUUUGUAACUUCAAGCCUUGUGAACACUUUAUACUUCACAGAAAUCCCAGUUCCAGCUUUACAUGUGGUUUGGCUGGGGCUCUGGCCUCCAACCCGGUUGAUGUGGUGCGAACUCGCAUGAUGAACCAGAGGGCAAUCGUGGGACAUGUGGAUCUCUAUAAGGGCACCGUUGAUGGUAUUUUAAAGAUGUGGAAACAUGAGGGCUUUUUUGCACUCUAUAAAGGAUUUUGGCCAAACUGGCUUCGGCUUGGACCCUGGAACAUCAUUUUUUUUAUUACAUACGAGCAGCUAAAGAGGCUUCAAAUCUAAGAACUGAAUUAUAUGUGAGCCCAGCCCUGCCAGCCUUUCUACUCCUUUGCCCUUUUCCCAUGUUCUGAUGUAUUUUGACAAUGUCGUAAGUGUUUACCAAGCCGUUGGUCUCCUAAGAGCCUCCUGAUGGAAGAACAGUGGGGUGAUUCAAAGUUAUUUCUAUGUUUGUGUUACCAUGUUAACUUUUCCCCGAGAGAAAGUGUUAACAUUGAGACUCUGGCCCCAGAUUGGUAUCUUCUAUGAAGAUGGAUACUGAUGGGUGACAUUGAAAACGGCCUGCUUUCCAAAUGUGGUUAAAUGUAAUUGGUUAGCCCCAGACUUGGGCUAGAGCAGAAGGCAUAGGCCAGGGUGGUUAUUGCUAUAUGUGUUACAGACCUCGGUUCUCAUUAAAGUAUUUAUUGGCAGAAUCA